rnacentral:rRNA from 1 species
CAGCCGUAAACUAUGCGCGUUAGGUGUACUGGUGACCACGAGUCACCGGGGUGCCGAAGGGAAACCGUGAAACGUGCCGCCUGGGAAGUACGGUCGCAAGGCUGAAACUUAAAGGAAUUGGCGGGGAGCACCACAACGGGUGGAGCCUGCGGUUUAAUUGGACUCAACGCCGGAAAUCUCACCGGAUAGGACAGACAUAUGAUAGUCGGGCUGAAGACUCUACUUGAUGAUCUGAGAGGAGGUGCAUGGCGUCAGUG